UACGGGGGGUGCAAGCGUUAUUCGGAAUUAUUGGGCGUAAAGAGCGCGUAGGCGGUCUUUUAAGUCAGAUGUGAAAGCCCGGGGCUCAACCCCGGAAGUGCAUUUGAAACUAGAAGACUUGAGUAUGGGAGAGGGAAGUGGAAUUCCUGGUGUAGAGGUGAAAUUCGUAGAUAUCAGGAGGAACACCGGUGGCGAAGGCGACUUCCUGGACCAAUACUGACGCUGAGGCGCGAAGGCGUGGGGAGCAAACAGG
rnacentral:rRNA from 1 species